AGGUGAGGUAGAGGUGCGGAUGGUCAAGAGUAACCGGGCAAAAACCCCGCAGGUUAAUGCUGCCCGGUGAAAGGGGCCUUCGCCGAAAUCCCUUACGGUAGCGGACGUAAGGGGUUGGGCCUAUGCCGAACAGGUAUAGGACUGUCACCCGUUUUAGCGGGUGGAGCGCUACCUUGCUG
rnacentral:ncRNA from 2 species